rnacentral:rRNA from 1 species
GUGGGGAAUUUUGGACAAUGGGCGCAAGCCUGAUCCAGCAAUGCCGCGUGCAGGAAGAAGGCCUUCGGGUUGUAAACUGCUUUUGUACGGAACGAAACGGUCCUGGUUAAUACCUGGGGCUAAUGACGGUACCGUAAGAAUAAGCACCGGCUAACUACGUGCCAGCAGCCGCGGUAAUACGUAGGGUGCGAGCGUUAAUCGGAAUUACUGGGCGUAAAGCGUGCGCAGGCGGUGCUGUAAGACAGGCGUGAAAUCCCCGGGCUCAAACUGGGAAUUGCGAUUGUGACUGCAGUGCUGGAGUACGGCAGAGGGGGAUGGAAUUCCGCGUGUAGCAGUGAAAUGCGUAGAUAUGCGGAGGAACACCGAUGGCGAAGGCAGUCCCCUGGGCCUGUACUGACGCUGAGGUGCGAAAGCGUGGGGAGCAAACAGGAUUAGAAACCCCGGUAGUCC